UACGGAAGGCAGCAGUGGGGAAUAUUGCACAAUGGGCGAAAGCCUGAUGCAGCUAUGCCGCGUGUAUGAAGAAGGCCUUAGGGUUGUAAAGUACUUUCAUCGGGGAGGAAAAAACAAAACUAAUAAUUUUAUUUCUUGACGUUACCCGAAAAAGAAGCACCGGCUAACUCCGUGCCAGCAGCCGCGGUAAUACGGAGGGUGCUAGCGUUAAUCAGAAUUACUGGGCGUAAAGAGCACGUAGGUGGUUUUUUAAGUCAGAUGUGAAAUCCCUGGGCUUUAACCUAGGAACUGCAUUUUGAAACUGAAAUACUAGAGUAUCGUAGAGGGAGGUAGAAUUCUAGGUGUAGCGGUGAAAUGCGUAGAUAUCUGGAGGAAUACCUGUGGCGAAAGCGGCCUCCUAAACGAAUACUGACACUGAGGGUGCGAAAGCGUGGGGAGCAAACAGGGAUUAGAUACC
rnacentral:rRNA from 1 species